GGAGGGAUGGCAGAGCGGCCGAAUGCGAGGCUCUUGAAAAGCCUUGGGCGCAAGCCCCGUGGGUUCAAAUCCCACUCCCUCCGCCC
rnacentral:tRNA from 1 species